UACGUAGGUGGCAAGCGUUGUCCGGAUUUAUUGGGUUUAAAGGGUGCGUAGGCGGCUUUGUAAGUCAGUGGUGAAAUAUCCCGGCUUAACCGGGAGGGUGGCAUUGAUACUGAUGGGCUUGAGUGCAGUCGAGGUAGGCGGAAUUGACGGUGUAGCGGUGAAAUGCUUAGAUAUCGUCAAGAACACCGAUAGUGUAGACAGCUUACUAGGCUGUAACUGACGCUGAGGCACGAAAGUGUGGGGAUCAAACAGG
rnacentral:rRNA from 1 species